rnacentral:misc_RNA from 1 species
AAGUCGUAACAAGGUUUCCGUAGGUGAACCUGCGGAAGGAUCAUUAUUGAAUAUUCUUGAUGAGUUGUAGCUGGCUCUCCGGGGCAUGUGCACGCUUGUCUUGACUCUAUUCAUCCACCUGUGCACCUUUUGUAGUCUUGGGAGUUGAAAGCAGUCGACUAUCGGAUGGCUACGGCUACUCCGGAUGUGAGAAAUGCUGAGCGCAGAGACGCAUACAGCUCUUCUCAAAUGACUUGCAUACCCUUGAGUACUAUGUAUUCAUAUACCACGUCGUAUGUUGCAGAAUGUGAUCAAUGGGUCUAUGUACCUAUAAUAAUCAUAUACAACUUUCAGCAACGGAUCUCUUGGCUCUC